GUGAGGAGGCGUGGGGACAUGAAUGAGCUUCCCCACUGCAGCAUUUGCCUUGAGUGGAGGAUGGGGUAAACUUCCCAGUGUAGCCCAGAAAAAAAUCUAGCUCACAAUGGCUAAAGAAUGUUGACUUAACAGCUAUAUAGGCACCUGCAGACACGGGUUGUAUGACUGGAGUGCAUCUGUUGAACGCUGUUGCAGUCAUAUCACAGGCGAAAUAGGACUUACUGGGCUAGCCUGGCCCUGGUCACUGUGAGUGCAUCAUUUUAGAACAUCAUUAUUUUGGUAAAAAGGAAAGACCACAUUCUAAGUUCCAAACAGCUGACUCAUGAGCGGACUUUUGGAAGCCACCAAUCCUUUGUCAUUGAGAGCUGCCUGAUCGCAGGGUCACACAGAAGUGUAUAAAGGCCAGACUUCAGGCAGCCAUGCGAGCAUGCUCACAGAGGCCGAGUCGUGUGGCAAGCCUCCUGGAGAAGUCUGCAGCCUUCCUGCUCCUAAGAAGCAGGCCCAGCCACACAACACAAAUUAAUUCACCCUUGGGUGAAUUAAUGGCCUGUGGGUGCAAAAAACCAAGAAGAAUUAGCUCUGUGAGGCACGCCAGGCUCUGCAAACACUCUGUAUGCCCAUAGGGGAGUGACUGCGUGGGCCUCAGCUUGUUCAUCUUGGGGAUGAAAGGGGAUGAACUACAUCAAGUCUGUCAAAUAGGUAAGAGCUUCAUGGAGUGCUGUGUGUAGAAUUCUGAGGCCACACCCAGUCUCUGUGAGAGCAAGGGGACCAGCGAGUGACUGCCAGCAUUUAUAGAUGAUGGCAUGAUUGUUAACAUAGAAACGGCCCCAACAGUUGGGAGCCCCUGGACCACUGAGUUCAUGGGUCCAUAAUCCCUAAUUCUAGUUGUUUCUAGUUGCUCAAAAGGUAGCUCUGAGAAAGCCUGCCUACCUGUCUUUAUUCCUUCCUUUCUCUCCUUUUCCCAGCCCCGUCUCCAUGGUGAUAAUGUGAUUUCCCCAUCUCUUAGGAAGGCUGCUAGACUCAUGUGAGUCAUUUGUAGGAGCUGUACAAUUUGUCAUCCACUCUGAAACAAUUUUGAGAAUGAAAGGGAGCACGUUCAAUAAUUUUCCUGGGACCACAGUUGUAACCUAGGACUCUCCUGGGGAACUGAUGUUACUUAAGGUGGUGGUUCCCAAACUUUACCAUGCAUGAGGAUUGAUGAAGGUAGAGGAGUUUUCUAGGCAGUAUCCUCAGUAUGGUUAGGGCCUGAGGACUGGCAUUCUAACAAGUUCUCAGGUGCUAUUGCUGCAGGUCCACGGACCACACUUUGAGGAGUCUAGGUUCACAGAACUCAUUCACAGCAUGUUCUUACUGAUCCUUACAGAGAGCCCAAAAGGAAAUGAAAAGUUAUCAAUAGUGUCAUGCUAAGCUGGAGAACCGAGACUCAGAGAAGGUAAGUGACUAGCUCAAGGACACCCAGCUACAAGGGGAGAAGCCCUUGUUUAAAUCCAGAGUUGCCAACUUGCAGCCUCUGCUUGGCUCACCAGGCCCAGCAGCCUCUCAGCUUAGGAGCGUUUUAAGAGCUGAGCUGAUCCCCCUGGCUCUGCAGCAAUGCCUCUUUCUCUGCAAAUGUUUCUGGCCUGGAUUAAACCCA
ensembl:lncRNA